rnacentral:autocatalytically_spliced_intron from 1 species
AAGAGCCGUGUGACGGGAGACUGUCACGCACGGUUCUAUGGUAGCCGGG